rnacentral:rRNA from 1 species
GAUGAACGCUAGCGGCAGGCUUAAUACAUGCAAGUCGAGGGGCAGCGCGGUAGCAAUACUGGCGGCGACCGGCAAACGGGUGCGGAACACGUACAGAACCUUCCUUUAAGCGGGGGAUAGCCCAUAGAAAUGUGGAUUAAUACCCCAUAGUAAUAUUGUCUGGCAUCAGAUGGUAUUUAAAGAUUUAUCACUUAAAGAUGGCUGUGCGGCUGAUUAGGUAGUUGGGCGGGUAACGGCCCACCAAGCCAGCGAUCAGUAACUGGUGUGAGAGCACGACCAGUCACACGGGCACUGAGACACGGGCCCGACUCCUACGGGAGGCAGCAGUAAGGAAUAUUGGUCAAUGGACGCAAGUCUGAACCAGCCAUGCCGCGUGAAGGAUGAA